CGGGUAGUAGAGGAGUCAGGUUUAUCUCAUCCGCCUUGGAAGCGGAGGCACGCAAGUUCGAAUCUUGCCUACCCGA
rnacentral:tRNA from 1 species